GAAACCUGGGAAACUUUGAUGUGCAUAAAAAUGGAAACGUCGGAAUUCCUGUGUAGCGGUGAAAUGCGUAUAGAUAUGGAGGAACACCAGUGGCAAAGGCGACUUUCUGGUCUGUAACUGACACUGAGGCGCUAGCGUGGGGAGCAAACAGGAUUAGAUACCCUGGUAGUCCACGCCGUAAACGAUGAGUGCUAAGUGUUAUGAGGAUUUCCGCCCUUUAGUGGUGAAGUUAACGCAUUAAAGCACUCCCCCUUGGUCAGUACGGUUCGCCAAGGCUGAAACUCACAUGAAUUGGAUGGUGCGCCCGUCACUAUGCGAUUGGAACCAUGUGGUUUUAUUUCUAAGCGACGGGCAAACAACCUUACCCGGUGUUUGACAUCCCUCUGAAGACCCUAGACCAUAAGGGUGUCCUCCUUCUGGGAAUUAAUUGAAAGGCGGGGGAGGUUGUCCCCCUCCCCCUUUCAAGUAAUUUUGAAUUAAGUCCACCACCAAGGGAAACCCUUUGAUUUUGUUCCCACCUUAUUCUGCCCUUCUAAGUUGACUCCGGUAAAAAAUCCUGCCAAGUGGGGUUAACAUCAAUACCGGCCCUUAGGACCGGGGGAAACCCUGUUCCAUUGAGGUAAAAUAACCGGAUCCCGGGGGUGGCAUUAUUCCCCAAAGCUUCCAUUUGAAUUAAACCCCAACCCCCCUUUAAACCAAAUUCAAAUACCAGAAACCUCCUGGGAAACUUCCAAAAAAAUCGAUUCUUAAUU
rnacentral:rRNA from 1 species